AACUGCUCAAGAUUCAUGCUCCAUUACAUGUCACAUUUGUAGGCCAAUGUUUGAUAUUCAUGUUCACCUGUAGGCCCCUUCACUAUUGACUAUUCCAACUCCAGUGGGAGUCUACCGGCACUGGUAUACAACCCAUAUUCAUGGACGAAGGUGGCAAAUAUUAUUUACACCGAUCAACCGGCUGGAACUGGAUAUUCAUAUGCAAAAUCUUGGGAAGCAUACAACACUAAUGAUACACUGUUUGCAGCACACACUUAUGAGUUCCUUAGGAAGUGGCUAAUAUAUCAUCCCAAAUACCUCGACAAUCCACUUUAUAUUGGUGGUGACUCUUAUACUGGCAUUGUUGUUCCACUUGUUGUUAACAAGAUAUACAAUGCUAUUGAAGCUGGAAGUCAUCCACCCUUGAAUAUGAAGGUAUA